GUUUCAUGCAAACUAUUACAUUUGAGCUUGUUGAAAUCUAAAUUCGUUUAUUGGAUGCAAUCAUUUCUAGAAUUCAUUCAUAUCUUGUGACACGUCUUUAAAUCCACAUCAUUCGAAUAAGUCUUGAUUCGAUUUCAUGAUCGUUCACUUUGGUACUAUUCAUAUUUUCUACGCAUAACGUAACUCAAAGGAGUUGACGUAGUCUAAAUUUCGAGGACGAAAUUUUAUUAACAGGGGGAGACUGUGACAACCGGUAAUUUACACCCUUAAUUACGUGAUUAACAGGUAAUUACGCAAUAAUAAAUAGGGUUUACGACGCAAAUUAACUUAAUUAGGCCCUUGGAGUGCCUAGGAACGCUUAUCCGACCCUACAAUACGCUUUUGAAGAUUCGCGCGGCAUCUGCGGAACAUCAAUUGACAACGGACUGAAACCGUACGAAAUACUGACAACGCCAACAAAUAUGGAUAUUACAUGAAUAUUCUAUGCUCAUGGAGUUUGGGUCGCGAUAUCGGGUCUCGUAGGAAUUACGGGCCACCUACUCAUGAGAUGGGCUUGUGGGCCCUGAGGCCAAGUCCAAAACCCGCAAGCCUAAACCUGCAUAAUAUAUAAGAUCUACAAAAUAUAGCCAAAUCUCUACAAAAGAUUUGCAAUAAUCCUACUAAAUCCUAAAAUCUCUAUAAAUCUUUACAAAAGAUAUCAUCUCAAAAGAUAUAACAUAUAACCUGAAUAGAAUUUGAAAACAUAAAGGAUAAUAAAAGUUGGCCACUCUAUUAAUACACAUCCACUCCUUCUCAUCUAAACUCACACUGCCUUUCACCUUCCUCCCUCUCGGUUACAUAUACAAACACAGGGAAUUUCUCACCUGCACAAGACAAAAACCCAAAUCAAACAACUUUCCUCACCAAACAAAACCCAACCCAACCCAGCCGACCACCCCUACCCCUCUCGGUCUAUCUCUCCUCUCGUUCUAUACAUUCAAACACAAAGAAAUCAGCUCCCAACCCACUUGUUUUACCCCCUAUUAAUGGGCCAACCACCACCAUCCUUUGGUGGUGGCAGACUACAACAACAAACACCACCACCACCACCACAGGCGGCGGCGCUGUGGUGGUUGGUACCGAAUGAUGAAGAGAACAGAACCGCCGCACGCGGCGGCGGUAUGAUGGCAAGAGAGAGAGAGAGAGUAGAGAGAGAUGGUGACAGCGGCUGACUGGCGACGGAGCCGUCUCUCCGACGGCGGCGGCGGUGGUCUGAGACUUAGACCGGCAGUUCGUGUUACGGACCGGUGGUUCGUGUCAAGAUCCAGCGGUUUUUGCUUUUGACUAAUGGGUUAACCGGGAGUAGCGGCUGAAGACGGUGGUGAUGACGAUGGUGACGGCAGUGGCAGCGUGACGGUGGUUGUGUCUCGAUCCACGAGAUUUCCGCAAACGUCAACAGUUGGGGUUCGGGUUAGAUGUUGAGUUUCGGGUUUUCGGGUGCAGGUCAGCGCUGUGGUUCAGCUUGUUGCGGUUCACACGGUUCAGCAGGUUUAAUUUUCGGGCCAACUGGUUAACGGGUUGACUCGGUCAAACUGAGUCAACUCAGUCAACAAGUCAAAGCUGGUCAACAUCGAGUCAUUGCUCGGGCUUGGUCAACUCGGGUCAGAUUAGGAAGCGGUUCGGUCGACUCGGUCAAACCCGGUCAACAGCGAGUUGACUCGGUCAACUCAGCUAGCUCACUCGACAUUUCGUCACGAAGACUUGGAAUAUUGUAGAAUGCACGCUAGCAAGUCCCGACUUGGAAACGACAUCGCAAAGUCGUAUAUAGCUAGCUUUGCACAGGAAUAUUCAGGUUACUUUUCAAACAAUGGAACGGUUGGAAUAGGAGGACCAUGAAGAGUCGAGUACUUAGUGGCGUUCAAUUUCUAGAAGUCUUAGCUUUAUUUGCUUCCGCUGUGCAAUGAAGAUACCAGUCCAGUCACGCCAAUGCUCUGAUAAUUUCGGGGUGUGACAACAAACCCUUAAAAGGGUACUACUCGUAAUAGGCUGGCCUCUCCUUAGCAUCUAUAAGAGUCUCGCAAGCUUGGAUGCAUUGAGUCUGUUGAACUAGUUUCCUCUUUAUUUUGAUC
rnacentral:lncRNA from 1 species